GCGCACACCUCCCGCAGCGCAGGGAUCUUGGGGGGUGGGGGGAGAGGCCUGGGUCGCAUCCCAUAGGAUCCGCGGAGUCUUCGAGUGGGGCGCCCGGCUCGCCCCGCCUUGGCUGGCUCCUCUUCGCGGCUCCCAAGGCUCAGGGACGGGAGUCUCCCUCGCACCCCGGCCUGGCUCUUGGCGCCUCGGCCGGGCCGCAGAGCUCCGUGGGGGCCCCCCGCGCGAGGGCCCUCCGAGUGGUUCCGGGGUUAGGGUUCACAGGUCAGAGUUGACUCCCUGAAAAGUGCAGUCGCUCUGAAAUGCAAGAUGGCGGCAGCGAGGCGCUGAGGCGCGGCGGGCCCUGCAGGAGAAGACUGCUAGCUACUCUGGGACAAUUUGUGAUAAUGGCCUGAGCCAAGGACCUCAUUGGAAGGGGUAACCUUCUGCUUUAAUGAACAGAGAGCUGAGGAAGAAUGGCAGGUGAUUGGAGUUGUGCUUCAUACAUUUCAGCAGUUCAGCAAUGUUUUAUCUGCCAACUAAGCUUUUCACUUGAGUGCGCCAUGGAAACACUACUAAUGAGACUUGUUGAGCACAAAAGUGGACUCGAAGAGCCAGAAGCCACUGUUUUCAAAUGAAGGAUUCCAAACAGUUUUAAGCCUCAGUGCGUUUAAAUCAACACUGA
rnacentral:lncRNA from 1 species